GGAAAAUUUAUCUUAAAAUAUUAAGGUCAGACAAGAACCUCUGUCAAGGAACAGGAAGUCAUGCCCUGAAGAGACAAGUAGAGGCUGUAGCCAUGGGUGGCUUUGGGGUAGUAGCUGUUGGCUGUGCCUAGAAGGACAUCAUGAAAGUUUUUUCCAACCACAAAGGGCCCAGAGUUUCCCUUGUGAAUGAGCUCAGCAUCCUCACGUUUCCAAGAGGAAUCAACACCGCAAUUCCUCGGACCACGGUGGCUCUCUUCCCAGCACACCCUUGCUGUGACCUGCACCCCUGCAUUGUCCUCAAAGACACACUAAGAAAACACAGUUCAGAAGGAAGGACGUAACGGAGCUCAUGAUCCAGUUCUGCAUUUGGCGUGGCCCCAAAGACACUGUGUGCAGAGUCAGAAAUAUGCUCCCCAGUUGGACUCCAUGGGAUACUGUUUCAAAAGAGCUAUCAUUCUUGUCUGUUUAC
rnacentral:lncRNA from 1 species